rnacentral:rRNA from 1 species
UACGGGGGGGGCAAGCGUUGUUCGGAAUUACUGGGCGUAAAGGGCUCGUAGGCGGCCAACUAAGUCGGAUGUGAAAUCCCCAGGCUUAACCUGGGAACUGCAUCCGAUACUGGAUGGCUUGAAUCCGGGAGAGGGAUGCAGAAUUCCAGGUGUAGCGGUGAAAUGCGUAGAUAUCUGGAGGAAUACCGGUGGCGAAGGCGGCAUCCUGGACCGGCAUUGACGCUGAGGAGCGAAAGCGUGGGGAGCGAACAGG